GACGAACGCUGGCGGCGUGCCUAACACAUGCAAGUCGAACGGGGUAGCAAUACCCAGUGGCGAACGGGUGCGUAACACGUGAGGAACCUGUCCAUCGGCGGGGGAUAGCCGGCCCAACGGCCGGGUAAUACCGCGUACGACCACCGGGGGGCAUCCCCUGAUGGUGAAAGCAGCAAUGCACCGAUGGAGGGCCUCGCGGCCUAUCAGCUAGUUGGUGAGGUAAUGGCUCACCAAGGCGACGACGGGUAGCUGGUCUGAGAGGAUGAUCAGCCACAUUGGGACUGAGACACGGCCCAGACUCCUACGGGAGGCAGCAGUGGGGAAUCUUGCGCAAUGGGCGAAAGCCUGACGCAGCGACGCCGCGUGUGGGAUGACGGCCUUCGGGUUGUAAACCACUGUCGGGAGGGACGAAGUUCUGACGGUACCUCCAAAGGAAGCACCGGCUAACUCUGUGCCAGCAGCCGCGGUAAUACAGAGGGUGCAAGCGUUGUCCGGAAUCACUGGGCGUAAAGGGCGCGUAGGCGGCCUGGUAAGUCGGGGGUGAAACGCUGCGGCUCAACCGCAGCACUGCCUUCGAGACUGCCUGGCUUGAGCACGGUAGAGGCUGGUGGAAUUCCCGGUGUAGCGGUGGAAUGCGUAGAGAUCGGGAAGAACAUCGGUGGCGAAGGCGGCCAGCUGGGCCGUUGCUGACGCUGAGGCGCGACAGCGUGGGGAGCAAA
rnacentral:rRNA from 1 species